CCUACGGGAGGCAGCAGUGGGGAAUAUUGGACAAUGGGCGAAAGCCUGAUCCAGCAAUGCCGCGUGAGUGAUGAAGGCCUUAGGGUCGUAAAGCUCUUUUACCCGGGAUGAUAAUGACAGUACCGGGAGAAUAAGCCCCGGCUAACUCCGUGCCAGCAGCCGCGGUAAUACGGAGGGGGCUAGCGUUGUUCGGAAUUACUGGGCGUAAAGCGUACGUAGGCGGUUAUUCAAGUCAGAGGUGAAAGCCCGGGGCUCAACCCCGGAACGGCCUUUGAAACUAGAUAGCUAGAGUCUUGGAGAGGUCAGUGGAAUUCCGAGUGUAGAGGUGAAAUUCGUAGAUAUUCGGAAGAACACCAGUGGCGAAGGCGACUGACUGGACAAGUACUGACGCUGAGGUACGAAAGCGUGGGGAGCAAACAGGAUUAGAUACCCUGGUAGUCCACGCCGUAAACGAUGAUAACUAGCUGUCCGGGUACUUGGUAUCUGGGUGGCGCAGCUAACGCAUUAAGUUAUCCGCCUGGGGAGUACGGUCGCAAGAUUAAAACUCAAAGGAAUUGACGG
rnacentral:rRNA from 1 species